CUUGCUGGUCAGCAGCUUUCCCACCAGCCUGUAUCUCUUUGUGGGGAGGAGAUAAUCCAGGUGCUUGUCCUUGACGGUGUCUGUCUCCAUGGAGGAUAAUGGAUUCUGGAGCCCGGAAGCCAGAGAGUUCAGUUGUCUCUUCCAUGUUGGAGCAAAUUGUUUACUUCACAGGAGAUCGCCAACACCAAGAGCAGAAACUGAAAUCCCGCCUCGUCUCAGAUCCGCUCAAUAGAAGCAAAGUAGGAACAUGGAGGGAAUCUGUGUUUCCCAAAUGGAAGGAAACAUCCUUAACUUCCCCCCACACUACCCCAAAGUGGAAAAUAACACUUACAUGGUGCUCAGCCUUCUCAGGAGUCCCUCUCCUGGUAUGACCAGCAGUCAUUUUGAAAGCUGGAAGAAAAUAAACCGCUAUCAGGCUUAAAGCUCCAAGUAACCAUGGUGACCAGCUCAUCCAGCCUCAGCUUCACCUGGUAAUAGGUAGAAGAGAAGUUGGUAGAAUCUUAUUGUCAUAAGUGAAAAGAGUUUGUGUUGCAGAAAUAUUUUCUUACCACAUAGGCCAAAAUUGGACGGCUACCAGUGUGUCUUCUUGAUCCCACUCCUUCCUUCAUUCAUUCAACCCAGAGUUACUGGCACUUUCCAGGGUUACAGCAGAGAAUCUGACAAACCCCUGCUCUCAGUGGUUGGCAGACAGCAAAGUAGGAAUAAAUAUACAAUGUAAUCUCAGGUUCUGGUGCGGGCAUCUGGUUACUGUGAAUUCUCUGCAGUAUACAAUGUGUACAACUGUCUGCAUAGCCCUGUCUUUGUCAUUGUCGAAACCAUUUUCUGGUAACAAAGCCUCUGUGCCUUUUCUUGUCCCAAAGAGGUGGGGGCAGGGAGGGAGGUGAAGAGGGAGCACAUUUCGGCUGACAUCUGCCCUUCGUUGACGUCCGUCCAUUUCCUCUUUGAAAUUCUCCUUCACCAGAACAGGUUGUUUUAGAGGGUGUUGCUGGUGCCCUGUCAUCACCCCAGGCAUUUGUCCAGUGUUACGGUUAACCUGUUUUCAGAAAGAUUGAAUAGUGUAUUAAAAUGGCUUUUAUAGUAAGUACAUAAUUCACGUGUAAAAUCUGAACUUGGAAUCCUUUUGCCACUCUCUUGC
rnacentral:lncRNA from 1 species